GCCCAAGGGCGGGACAUGCAAAUUAACUUCCGCCUUGGCUCCCCACCCCCCCCAGGCUCCGCCCCCGUGCGCUGCAACCCGCGACUUCCAAGAACUCCCUGCGUGGUCAGUGGCCCGGGCCACGCCCCCUUCCCGGACUCGCGCUGCCAGUCCCAGGGAGGCGGGGGCAGAGCUUGCGGCGGAGCGGGAAGGCGGAGGCAGAGGCAGCGCCCAGGGCCUGGAGGCGUCAGAAACGUGGGGAAGUCGCGGCUUCUGCACCUCCCUCGGGGGUUCGGCUCCCAAUCUGCAGAAUUGAGUCAUUCAACAGACUGUCUGGCCCUCGAAGCUGAAAAUAUUUACUGUCUGGCCCGUUGGAGAGGAAGCUUGUGGACCCCUCUUCUAAGGGGCCUGAGACCCUCGCAUCAAUCUGUCCCUGUUUCAGAUGGCCCCAGGAUCACUUCUUCAUUGGACAGUAAAGAGGUGGCGCUGUCAGCCUGCCUCCUCCUCGACUUGUGCAGACGUCAACCACAGGUCAACCAAGAACCCCUGGAUCCUGGAGCUCCUGACGCUACCUCGAGCAAGGCCCUGGACCUAAGUUCUCCUCUGCAAUGGCUGCCCCCAUCUGCUUGUCCUCACCUGGCCUUCAGGAGGUGCUUAGUGACCUCGAGAUGAGAUCUUUGUGCAUCACCCAGGCUGCAGUGCAGUGGCUAUCCACAGUUGUGAUCAUAGCUGGUCGUGACCUCCUGGGCUCAAGUGAUCCUCCUGCCUCAGCCUCCUGAAUAGCUGGGACUACAGGGCUGUGCGGAUCAGAGCCAUGAGGGUGGAAUUGAAGUGGACGGUGUUGUCAUCUGCCACGGGCAGGUCCAUCCGCAGAAGCCUCUACAGAAAACCCAAGGUGAGGGCAGUCAUUCCUGGGCAUCCCUCCUGGGUCUCCCGUGAGCCACGCCCACCCCUACCCAGGGAGUCCCAGGAAGAACUCUGAAGGCGGGCAGAGGCUGAGGCGUUCCCUACGUAGGUUACCUGUCCUAGUACUCAGUUUCUCUUGGUGGGCUGCAGGGAGGGGACGAGGGCUCUCCUACACUUCUGUUCCCCUGCCCUCCCCUUUCUCCCUCUAUGUGCUUGACCUGAGAGCUGGUAUUUCCAGAGCUGGCCUCAAUCCUUCCCUGCCUCGUUCCGCCCCAGAGUUCUUCUGGACGGCCCCGUUUCGGUCUGAUCCCAAAGAAAAAGAGCACAAGCUGGAUUUGAGCAGCACGUGCAACAGCCAAGGCUGAGGGGGCCGGGGCCACAGCCGAGGGUGGGGGCGCCACCGGCUCCCCACCCCCACCUCCCGGCUUGGCCAGACCAGGACAGACCAGAUGGGCAGAGACCACAUCAUUCCUCUGAGAAGCGGCAGGCAGGCAGCCCCCCACUGACGGGGCAGGCCCCUCGCAGGCAUGCAGCGAGGCUGUGACACAGACAGCACAGACGGGGCGCAUGCAGACGGAAUCUCGAGACUCAUUCAUAGCUCCGUGGGAAGUGUAUCUCAGGGACUUGUCCAGAUCUUGGCUCUCUGUGCAAUGGCAGGGGGAAGGGAUGAGGGGCAUUCCUGUGGCCCAGGGAAGAAAAGAUUCCCCAUGUCCCAGGCAGGGGUUCUGUCCACCGUGCUGGGUGGCAUGGGAGAGGAUGCCAGGCUGGUGUGCACCAGCCCAGGCUGGGGUGGCACAGAGAAGGGGGGUGAGGUCGAGUUGGGUGGGGAUUCCGACACACAUGGGCAGGAAACACAGAGCUAGAGAUGGGGAGAGGAAUGGUAAGCUCAGAGCAGGACACUAGAGGAGACACUGGGGCAAGGUGGGGAAGGAGCUGGGAAACAGAGAAACACAGACUGAGCCUCUGUGCACAGUUGUGCAGGCUGUGCACUGCACAAAGUGCUCCCAUCUUGGAAAUGAUACAUAGAUGUACUUAUUUAUUAAAAUAUUUUUUGCUUUUUGUAGAGAUGGGGUCUUGCUAUGUUGGCCAGGCUAGUCUCGAACUGGGCUCAAGUGAUCCUCCCAUCUCAGCCUCCCAAAAACACUACGAUUACAGGCAUGAGCCACGAUGCUUGGCCUCCAAUUUGUGCAUUAAAUACAACAGCUUCCCAGCUAAGAGCAGACAAGUGUCUUGUUCUCGCUACAUUGGCGGACUGCAACAAUUUUCCGAUGGACACGUUUUGUAGAAAGGGUGCCUUUUUCAAAUUUGCACCGAGCUGUCUGACAGACCAAUGGUGGGCCUGCACCAAGACGGGGAGGGGAAGGGCUCUUCCUCCCUCUCUUGCAUGCGCACACACAUCCAACUACGCAGACACUGAGAAGUGACUUGAGGAACACGGGAGGGGAGCGACUGGUGCGGGGAGAGGCUCCUUGUCUGAGACGCUGGUGGGCCAACCUUGUCCCCGGCUUUGACUGAGAAGUGAGGGGGACAUAUAGGUUAGGUGAGGAGUGGUGCACAGAGGAAGGAAAGAGAGGAGCUUGUGGGGAGGUGGCGACACGGGGCGGGUACAGAUAGCACUGAUGGAUGGGGAUGCAGGGAAGAUCAAGGCGGACGGGAGAACAGGUUGACAGGGUAGUAUUUUUUGGGUGGGGAGAAUCUUUAAAGGUCAUCCCAGAACUUCUCGUGGAUGAGUGGAGGAAACAGAGCAUCUGUCCUCGGGCGCCAAGGAAGAUUCCAGGACAGGGAUCUAGAGGGGUGGCCCGGCCCAGCCGCUUGGCGGCAGGACGCUCGUGUUCUCAGCCAGCAUGCACCACCCCCCGUCGGCCAUGGUGCCUGCCCGCCCCAGGCCCCGCCAAGGCAGCGUGCAUGGCCUGCAUCAGUGUGCCACCGUCCAGGGGUCCAGCUGCGGCCGCCUGCCCACUCUGGAACAAUGGAGAGGCAUGUUGGGGUGUCUUGGGCAGAUUAGGGACAGGGGCUGGGGACGAAACUCCGUGGGAGGGAAGAGAGGGGAAGAGAGGUUCUUGGUGCUCCUUGGAAGGUCUCCAAUCCCCCAAGGCCCUAGGUCAGAGAUCAGCUUCAGGUGUGCGCGGGGUGGGGAGCUGGGGGCUCGAGGCACAAAAGAUGGGCCCGGGACCUUGCCUGCUCUCGGGGGCUUAAGCCCCUCUCUGCAAGGCGCCUGUCCCGGCCUGGGCAUGGGGGGCAGAAGUGGGAGGCGUGGGUUUUGACUCCCUGGAGAAGCGUGUUUGUUUCCAAUUUGGUACCUGGGAGACCAGGUGCAAGGGGACCUGGGCGCUCCCCUCCCCCUCCCCCCGGCGUGUCGGCCAUAAUGGAGUCUCAGAACACGAAGACACUCAUCAGAAAGGACGGACACAGUGUGCUGCUUGGAAUCGAGGGAUGGUCAUGAUCAGUUCACUCGAGAAAAGAAAAAAAAGAAUCAAAAACAAGAAGAGAAACGCUGGAAAAAGAGAGUCGGCUGGGUGUUUCUGGUCAGCACUAAAAAAAAUAAAAAAGGGAAAAAACAAAAAAAAACCCAGCGCCUGGACAUCGGUGGUCGGCAAGGGUAGUCUACCUUGUAAGCCACUCUGGCCGGGCACUUCUUCCCCAGACCCAGGGGCGGAGACAUGUGUCUCAGCAUCUGAUACAUGUCCAGGUAAGGCAUGCGGCCCCUGGCAGCACCGAAAACA